UACGUAGGCAGCAAGCGUUGUUCGGAAUUACUGGGCGUAAAGAGUGUGUAGGCGGUGCCCCAAGUCUGGUGUGAAAUCUCCCGGCUUAACUGGGAGGGUGCAUUAGAAACUGGAAUGCUAGAGGAUGGGAGAGGUAAGCGGAAUUCCUGGUGUAGCGGUGAAAUGCGUAGAUAUCAGGAGGAACACCUGUGGUGUAGACAGCUUACUGGACCAUUUCUGACGCUGAGACACGAAAGCGUGGGUAGCAAACAGG
rnacentral:rRNA from 1 species